CCGGGGCCAGGACAGGGGGCUUGGGCGGGGCCGAACUCGAUUUGGGAGGCCCCGUCGGCUCGCCACUCUGGUCCCGCGCCCCGGCCUUCGUCCAUCUCCUCGCAGCGGUCUGUACUUGGGUGGAAGGCUGAGGUGCAGGCAGUCAUGGCGCUGCGUGCUGCCGUGUUCGACCUGGACGGGGUCCUGGCGCUGCCCUCGCUCGCCAGCUCCUGGGACCGUGCGGAGGAGGAGCUGGCGCUGCCCAGUGGCUUUCUGAAUGGAGCUUUCGUGAAAGGAGGCCCAGAUGGUUCCAGCGCCCGCAUGAUGAAGGGAGAGAUCACAUUUUCCCAGUGGAUGCCAUUCAUGGAAGAAAACUGCAGGAAAUGUUCUGAGGACUCUGGAAUCUGCCUCCCUGAGAAUUUCUCUAUAAAUCAGAUCUUUGGCAAGGCGCUUGCAGCAAGAAAGGUCAACGACCCCAUGCUUAAGGCAGCUCUCACUCUCAAAAAGAAGGGAUUUACAACCUGCAUCCUCACCAACAUCUGGCUGGAUGACAGCACCCAGAGAGGCAGCCUGGCCCAGACGAUGUGUGAGCUCAGGCCGCACUUCGAUUUCCUGAUUGAGUCAUGCAGGAUCGGAAUGGCCAAGCCUGACCCUCAGAUCUACAAGUUCGUGCUGGACGUCUUGAAGGCCAGCCCCAAUGAGGUGGUUUUCUUGGAUGACUUCGAAGUUAAUCUGAAGCCGGCCCGUGACCUGGGGAUGGUCACCAUCCUCGUGCAUGACACUGACACUGCCCUGAGGGAGCUGGAGAAAGUAACCGGGGUGCAGCUUCUCCAAACUGCAGCCCCCCGACCAAUCCCCUGCGAUCCAAGCACCGUGAGCCAUGGGUACGUGCCCAUAAAGCCUGGGAUGUGUCUGCAUUUUGUGGAGCUGGGCUCUGGCCCUGCCGUAUGCCUCUGCCACGGAUUUCCGGAGAGCUGGUUCUCUUGGAGGUACCAGAUCCCUGCUCUGGCCCAGGCGGGCUUCCGGGUACUAGCGGUGGACAUGAAAGGCUACGGAGAGUCAUCUGCUCCUUCUGAAAUAGAAGAGUAUUCCAUGGAAGUGUUAUGCAACGACAUGGUCGCCUUCCUGGAUAAGUUGCCUGGCCAAGUCACCCGCCCCCUGUGAGCCAUCUUUUCAUUGGUAAAAUGUGAGUUCGAAGGUUACUGGGAGGAUUCCAGAUAAAGGGCCUGUGACACAGAAGAUCCUGCACGAAGGGAGCUGUGGUCGCUCGUGGUUACAGCAGCAGAGGAGAGGAAGGCGCAGGGAGAAACUGGGAGGGCAUCGCUCAAGCUGUGUUCAUUGGCCACGACUGGGGUGGCAUGCUGGUGUGGAAUAUGGCUCUUUUCUACCCCAAGAGAGUGAGGUAAUUAGGCCUCGGGCAUCAAGAAUUUGGGUCAGACUGGACUUGAAUUCCCUAGACUCCUUCCUCAGGUCUUGAAUUCCAGAAAACUUCUUGAAAACAAUAGGUUAUUACCUGGGAAGGUGACACCGUAGCUCCUUAGCUCAUUGGUGUAUAAGUAGGGAGGGGUUAAUGAGCUAACGUCUUGGGCACAAGGCCUGUCCCAAUCACCAGUAAUGCAACGAAUAAUUCAGGGCCUGUGUAGCCAGUGGGAAUGCAGGAGAAUGAGGGUGGGCUUUGAGGGGAGGAAGUGAGGCAGCAGGGGAUGUCAGAGUCAUAGAACUGAGUGCCAGGAGACACUUUAGCCCUGGUCAGAGUCAGAAAAUGUGGCUUUCACUUUUACCCUGAACUGGCUACGUGACAAAUCACUUCACCCGUUAGGCCCUGGUAUCUUCAACCACAAAGUGGUAAUGGUCACUCCUACCCGACUCUUCAACCUGCAAAAUACAGUAAAACAGAUGUCAGGUUGGAAUGAUAUGUCAUGAUCGCCAUCACAUCACUCAUAAUCAUUCUCAGAAUGACAUUUCAGGGCACAAGUGGGAGCUUUCAGGUGAUGGGUUUUGAACCUGGAGAGUCAGGUGGUCCUUGUGGCCACACCCCAUUUGAGCUGGUAACUGCAGUUAAAGCCUGUCUGACCUCCCAUUUCAGCCUCGGAUCUUAGCAAAUUAAUUAAAACAACAUCCUUAGCAGCCAUCUGUGUUUCCCUAACUAAUCCAGUUACUUUUUAUUUUGCUGAGUUUAUAGGAAUGGAAACGCUGGAGAAACUUUGUUCAGCUCAAGCCCAGCUCAAAUGGUUGGAUGAUCUCAAAGACCAGAAAGAAUCACACAUUUCCUAAAGUAUUUUUAAAGUUUUUGCACGCUGUUUUGAUCUCUUUAGCUUCUCUCUCUGUCCUCUCUGUCAUUCAAAAGUGAGAUAAGAAAGCUCUUAAGAAUCAAGUUCACCAAAAAGUUACCCUGCAGGCUGCGUUAGAUGCUCCUUGAAGGGAACAAAAAGAAAUAGAGCAACAACAUAUGGUCUCCACUUGUUGUUGUUUUAUUAAACUUAAUCUAGUUCUCCUGUGAGAAUUUUAAAAGAUUUAACGUGAGCCAAAUGAGGUUUUGUGCAGAGUAACAUCAGAUCCGAGAUGCGGGCGUGCUCUGGUUUCCCGUUCCUCUUCUCCUAUGCUGUUUCCACCCUGCCUGCUGUUGAUUCUGGAGUAGUUGCUCAUUCUCCGUCUGCUCUCAUCAAAGCAGCCCUGUUACCUCCUUUCUGGGAGGGCGGGAGGGAGCUGAGACCCUCUCGCAGGGCUGUCCCCCCGCAUCUCUGGGUCUGGGAGCAUGUUUUAUUUAAGGAUAUUGCUAACAGCACAAAUCUCUGCCUUUCUAGCCAGACAAUGAAUGAAAGAAAAAAAAAAGCCCACAUUUAAUGUGGAAUAUUUCUUUGAAUCCUUGGUUUUGCCUUUCUACUGAAAUAAGCUUUGGGAACCUAUUUAAAAUCAGGGUCUAUUCUCUUGUUUGUUUUAUAUCCUUUCUUUAACAAUCACCUGGAGACGCUGCUGCCAGAAGGAGGCUGUGGUUCAGCUUUUUCUUCAUCUUAAUGCAGUUGGCAGCAGCAUUUAUAUAUUAUCAUCUCGUUUAGUGAUGAUUUUUUUAUAUAUGGGAUAAAUGAUAUGUCAAAGCGAUUAAAAAGAAAACCCCAUUCUGUUCAGAAUAUUUAGUAAAAGCUAGAAUUUCUUGACUUGUGAUUUAAGUAAUGCUUGAAAUAGGUUCCCUGUGGUAGCAUUAGGAACUUACAGACAUCAGUAUAACUUAUUUUAUACCCUAACCUGCACUGUCUAAUUGUGGCUGUUGAACUUUUGAAAUGUGGCCAGUUUGAAUUGAGAUUACUGUAAGUAGAAAAUACCUUCCAGAUUCCAAAGACUUAGUAUGAAAGAAAGAAUGUAAAAUAUCUUAUUAGGAAUUCUUAAUAUUGAUUACAUGUUGAAAUUAUUAAUACUUUAGAUAUAUUGGAUUAAAUAUUAAAUUAACAUUAAAUUUAAAAUUAAUAUUAAGUUAAUUAAUAUUAAAUAAUAUUUAAAAUUAAUCUCAAAUGUUCCUUUUUACUGGUUUUAAUUUGGCUACUGGAAAAAUUUUAAUUAUAUAUAUGGCUUGCAUUUUAUAUAUAUAUAUAUAUAUAUUUAUUUUGCAUUAUAUUUCUAUUGGUUGGUGCUGGUUAAGCCUCACCAGUCCUUCCACUGAUUGUUUUAUUUGCCCUAAUUAUCCCAUUGCUCCUAUUUUAUAUAUCUGUUUCUUUUCUGGGAACAAGUUUCCACAGGGUAAGCAUGGGAUACGGAAUUCUUUGCCGACCAGCCAGGCUCAAUGUAGUCCUGGCUAACUUCUAUCAGUUCUGCCUUUGUGUGGUCUCUCCAAUUCACCCUCUCUUCUAUUCCUUUUGCUGCCAUCCUCUUCCCCUCAGGAUGACUAGUCGUCUGCUGGCUUCUCCCCCUCUGUGCAUCCACGUGAUGGAUCGCUGCUUGAUACAUCACUUCCUGACUGCAGCUUCCAUCCACUCUCACCUCUUCCCAGAAGCCCUCAUGGCUUUCUUGGUUUUCUGCAGCUUCAAGUCCAGACUCAGGGCCCUUCAUGUUCCCGGUCCCACGAGCCUUUCUGGCUUCAUUUCCCAAGAUGCCCCAUUAACCACUUGGCUUCUGGCCCUGUAGACUCCUCGCUCCAUCAAACUCAACCCCAGGCUUUGCCUCAUUCUAGAACUGGCUCAGGCGACCUCAUGAUGUUUCCCUUGCAGGUAUUGGUUCCCCUCCCCACCUCUCCCCCACCUGUAAAAGUCAAGUUCAAAUGCUAUCUCUUCCAUAAGGUCUUCCAUGAUGCCCAAACCUAGAAAUCCUUUAUCUCCUUGAAUUCCUGUGGUAUUUUGUAGGAAUUCCUAUGCCUCAUUUUGCAGUCUAUCUCAUAAUAUAGUCAUGGGUGUAUUUGACUAGCCUUCCUUAUUAGACUAUAAGCUCUUGGAGUAUUGGUUUUAUAUUUUCUCUCCCCUAGUAUGUGGCGUGGAAUUACACUCAACACAGAGGAAACAGUGAGUGAAGGAAGGAAGAAAUGACUGUGUUUUUACAAACCAGAGAAAGAUUGUACUGUUCACGUAUUGUAAUCAAGGUGGAUAUACUGCACGUAACGUGCGUGUGUCUUUGUUGAAGGCAAGUAGGUGAGAAAUACUGCAGUUUAGUGGCAAAAAAAAACAAAACAAAACACACACACUGGGCUGGAGAGUCAAGAAGUAUGGUUUCAGGUCCCGUUCUCCCUGCACUGCUGGUGUGAGAUCUUGUGUGUAGCACUCUCCCACUCUGAGCUUGGGUUCUGACACAUGAGGUCCUUUCUGGUCCUUACAGACUGUCUUCUUAUGGGGUCUGUGUCUUGACACCUCUUCUUUCCACAGGGCAGUGGCCAGCUUGAAUACUCCCUUCAUACCAGCAAAUCCCAAAGUGUCCCCAAUGGA